ACCUGGUUGAUCCUGCCAGUAGUCAUAUGCUUGUCUCAAAGAUUAAGCCAUGCAUGUCUAAGUACACGCCCUAGCAAGGCGAAACCGCGAAUGGCUCAUUAAAUCAGUUAUGGUUCCUUAGAUCGUACACAUUUACUUGGAUAACUGUGGUAAUUCUAGAGCUAAUACAUGCAAUUGAGCCCUCGUCCCUUUUAGGGUGAGGGUGCUUUUAUUAGACCAAGACCAAACGGGGGCAACUCCGAUAGUCGUGGUGACUCUGAAUAACUAUGGCGGAUCGCACAGUCCUAGCACUGGCGACGCAUCUUUCAAGUGUCUGCCUUAUCAACUUUCGAUGGUAGGUUAUGCGCCUACCAUGGUUGUUACGGGUAACGGGGAAUCAGGGUUCGAUUCCGGAGAGGGAGCCUGAGAAACGGCUACCACAUCCAAGGAAGGCAGCAGGCGCGCAAAUUACCCACUCCCGGCACGGGGAGGUAGUGACGAAAAAUAACAAUACGGGACUCUAACGAGGCUCCGUAAUUGGAAUGAGUACACUCUAAACCUUUUAACGAGGAUCUAUUGGAGGGCAAGUCUAGUGCCAGCAGCCGCGGUAACUCUAGCUCCAAUAGCGUAUAUUAAAGUUGUUGCGGUUAAAAAGCUCGUAGUUGGAUCUCAGUCGCGCUCCCUUCGAUGCGUUGCAAAGCGUCUAUCGUUGGGGCCGACAGCACGUUGGUGGGCCCGGUUGGCUUUUACCGGUUGAUCGGGUUCUCCGGCAAUUUUACUUUGAAAAAAUUAGGGUGCUCAAAGCAGGCUGGUGCCUGGAUAUUGGUGCAUGGAAUAAUGGAAUAGGACCUCGGUUCUAUUUUGUUGGUUUUCGGAUCCCGAGGUAAUGAUUGAGAGGGACAGACGGGGGCAUUCGUAUUGCGGCGCUAGAGGUGAAAUUCUUGGACCGCUGCAAGACGAACUACUGCGAAAGCAUUUGCCAAGAAUGUUUUCAUUAAUCAAGAACGAAAGUUAGAGGUUCGAAGGCGAUCAGAUACCGCCCUAGUUCUAACCAUAAACGAUGCCAACCAGCGAUCCGCCUGAGUUCCUUAAACGACUCGGCGGGCAGCUUCCGGGAAACCAAAGUUUUUGGGUUCCGGGGGAAGUAUGGUUGCAAAGCUGAAACUUAAAGGAAUUGACGGAAGGGCACCACCAGGAGUGGAGCCUGCGGCUUAAUUUGACUCAACACGGGAAAACUCACCCGGCCCGGACACCGGAAGGAUUGACAGAUUGAUAGCUCUUUCUUGAUUCGGUGGGUGGUGGUGCAUGGCCGUUCUUAGUUGGUGGAGCGAUUUGUCUGGUUAAUUCCGAUAACGAACGAGACUCUAGCCUACUAAAUAGACCCACGGUCCUUUGUACCGUGAGCGGGUCUUCUUAGAGGGACAGGCGGCUUUUAGCCGCACGAAACAGAGCAAUAACAGGUCUGUGAUGCCCUUAGAUGUCCGGGGCCGCACGCGCGCUACACUGAAGGAAUCAGCAUGUGUCUACCCUUGUCCGAAAGGACCGGGUAACCCUCUGAACCUCCUUCGUGAUGGGGAUAGGGGAUUGUAAUUAUUCCCCUCGAACGAGGAAUUCCCAGUAAGCGCGAGUCAUCAGCUCGCGUUGAUUACGUCCCUGCCCUUUGUGCACACCGCCCGUCGCUACUACCGAUUGAAUGGUUUAGUGAGGUCUUCGGACUGGUUCAUUGAUCAGUUUCGGCUGUUAUUUGAGCCGGGAAGAUGAUCAAACUUGGCCAUUUAGAGGAAGUAAAAGUCGUAACAAGGUUGCCGUAGGUGAACCUGCGGCAGGAUCAUUA